rnacentral:ncRNA from 1 species
UAUCCUUAGGGGUGACCUAGAUGGGUCUGAGAUGCUUCCUAACUAAGUUCAGAAGCGAUCCCUUUGAACCUGAUCCAGUUAAUACUGGCGGAGGGAAAGGAAUA